UUAAAUUGAAGAGUUUGAUCAUGGCUCAGAUUGAACGCUGGCGGCAGGCCUAACACAUGCAAGUCGAACGGUAACACAGAGAGCUUG
rnacentral:rRNA from 1 species